rnacentral:lncRNA from 1 species
UUCUUUUAAACGGCUCCCCCACUUCCAAUCUUAGUUUCCGUCCCAAUUUGGGAAUUGUUCCUGCCUGGAGGUGAGGGAACCAUCAAUGGCCUUGUCUGAGAUGCACGCCUUGGUGCACAACAAACUCCUCUGCCAUCGCUUAGUCCUUCAAAGCUGACAGUGCUUUUAGAGUCAUGCAGACACCUGAUGGAAGAGUCUUCCAGGCAGAAGGAAGGACAAAUACCCUUGAUAUACAUGUACUUGGCCGGCAUGAGGAAGAGCAAUGUGGAAGGAUACAGAUAGUUGGGAACAUAUAGUGCCUGUGAAUGACCAGUAUGCUCACUCCAAUAACAUCAGGCAAGCAAUUCCACAUAAUACUGAAGAAG